GGCGGACGGGUGAGUAACACGUAGGAAUCUGCCUGGUAGUGGGGGACUACGUGGGGAAACUCACGCUAAUACCGCAUACGCCCUACGGGGGAAAGCGGGGGAUCUUCGGCCUCGCGCUAUCAUAUGAGCCUGCGUUGGAUUAGCUAGUUGUGUGAGGGUAAAGGCCUACCAAGGCGACGAUCCAUAGCUGGUCUGAGAGGACGAUCAGCCACACUGGGACUGAGACACGGCCCAGACUCCUACGGGAGGCAGCAGUGGGGAAUAUUGGACAAUGGGCGCAAGCCUGAUCCAGCAAUACCGCGUGUGUGAAGAAGGCCUGAGGGUUGUAAAGCACUUUCAAUAGGGAGGAAAAAGCAUUGGUGAAUGACCCGAUGCCUUGACAUUACCUAUAUAAGAAGCACCGGCUAACUCCGUGCCAGCAGCCGCGGUAAUACGGUGGGUGCGAGCGUUAAUCGGAAUUACUGGGCGUAAAGCGUGCGUAGGCGGUUAGUUAAGUCAGAUGUGAAAGCCCCGGGCUUAACCUGGGAACGGCAUUUGAUACUGGCUAACUUGAUUUUAGGAGAGGAGAGUGGAAUUUCCGUGUAGCGGUGAAAUGCGUACAGAUCUGUAUGAACACCAGUGGCGAAGGCGGCUCUCUGGCCCAAAACUGACUCUGAGGUACGAAAGCGUGCGUAGCAAACAGGAUUAGAUACCCUGGUAGUCCACGCCGUAAACGAUGUCAACUAGCCGUUGGGGUCUUUAUUAAGAUUUAUUGGUGCAGCUAACGCAUUUAAGUUGACCGCCUGGGGAGUACGGCCGCAGGUUAAAACUCAUUUGAAUUGACGGGGGGCCGCACAAGCGGUGGAGCAUGUGGUUUAUUUCGAUGCAACGGAAGAACCUUACCUACC
rnacentral:rRNA from 1 species